AUUAUAAGAAUUUAAAUAACAUGGCCAAAGAAUACUAGAAAAUAGAUUAUGAUCACAAGUAAAAUGUAACAAAUCCGAGAUGCCUGCUACUUGAUAGUAGGAAUUAUUGUCAGUUUGGUUAAUAUAGUCCUGUAUCUUUAAUAGGAGUGGAUGAUUAUUAAUAGAAGUUAAUUUGAGAAAGAAUUUUGUUUGUAGAUAUUUGAAUCUAAGAGCUAGUGGGGGAAUAUUACAUUCUACUUGUAAUGAUAUUAUAGGAGUAGACCUAAAAGUACCUGUUAUGAUCCUUAAGCAUUUAUUUUGUAUUUUUUCUAAUUUAUUCACUAAUGUAAUUACUCCACCAUAACAAAUGAAGGCAUACUCAAAAUGGCUACGGACUAAUGACUUAUAUAGUGUUAGCAAGAUGCGUGGGUCUGCACCCCAAUAUGUACCAGCUAAUGAUUUCAGAAUAUUGCAGGCCUUUAAUGCUCGAUUUUCUAAUAUUUUGACAUAUUUGUGCCAUCUAAAAUUACUUAAAAAGGGACAUUUAAGGAUAGAAGAAUGGAUGGUAAUUGUUCUAAAUCAACAUUAUUAAAUGCUCCUACAACAUCCAAAAAAACACCAGCCAAUAUCUUAUUGUCAAUCUGGGCACUAUGGAUGUCAAGACAUAAAUGCCGUAGACUCUCACAAGCAGAACGACCACAUCGAAAUCCAAAUUGAUUAUUAGAUUACUGUGUGGAGGAAUGUUGUAUGGAAUUGAAGAAGAUUCAGUUUCCGACACUACCAUGGAAAAUUUUGUGUAGUGUGUAGGCAAGUGAUAGCUGCCCAAAGAGUCCUGAUGAACUUGCCAUUCACAGCACAGGAAUAAUGAAGAUGAUACUAUUGUUAAUUCUAGUCCAUUUGGUCUCCAAGAAUUUGUACCCACUGUAGUUGGUUGAUCAUUAUUUAAGAGCAUUAAGUCAUUAUCGUCCAUUACAUCCAUGAUGUCUCUACCUCUAGAAUUGGUUCUAUUACAACCCCAAAUGGUAUGGUGAGCAUUAAAAUCACCUGCAAUUAUUAAUGGUUUUGGAAUACUAUGCAACAGUCUAUUAAAUUUAGAUUUUUCAAAGUUAGGUACACUGUUGCCAGGACUAUAAAAGCUAACAAUUGAGAUGUCUUUUUGUUUGUAUUUAAUUUUGAUUGCUACAUUUUGCAAGGAGAUAUCAGAAAAUGUUUCUAACUUUUGAAAAUAAAUGCCAUUUCUAACAAAAAUUGCUACACCAUUGUGAUCAUUACCGCAAUCAUUUCUUAUUAUUGUAUAACCUCUGAUAGAAAACUGUAUAUUUGGUUUAAGCCAAGUUUCUUAUAUAAGUGCUAUGUGUAUGUCCUGCUCAUAAAGUAGGUUUGAAGCUCAAGUAUGUUACUCAACAGACUUGCUCAAGUCUGUUACUCAACAGACUUUGAGCAUUCCACUGUACUAUGUUAAGUUUGUGACAGUUGAAUGUUAAACCAAGGGGUGGUAAACACCCCUUGGUCUCACGGUGAAAGUAAUGGAGUUUUGUCGCAGUGGGUGGAAGUGGGUGGUUGUGGGUGGCAAAAAUGUGAAUAAAUAUAUAUCUGUCCUUUUUCUAACUCAUGAGAACUUCUGGAAAGUUAUGGAAAUUUCUAGAAUUAUCUAGAAAACUCCAGAAUGUCUUCAACGGUUACAAUCGAUCUAGAACGUUCUACACUGGCCUGCAAGAGUAAGUAUCACACUUUUCAAAUUAAAUUUAUUUCUUAACUAUAGAAGGUAGAGAUUUAAGAUAAAAACGAUUUGUUGCAAAUUUUAUAGGCUUUAAUUCUUAGAAACUAAAAUUAUACAUUAGUAACAUUUUUAACUUUAAAAAGAUAAAACAAUGAAAAAAGACAUUUUUAGUUUAGUGUAAAAAAAUUCAAGUAAAAUGUAUUACAUGUUAUUUAAUUUUUAAUAACUGGUAUUGCCUCCUCGAGCUCUGAUUACAGCUUCGAGCCGGUUUGGCAUACUGAACACUAGGUUUCGGAGUCGAUGUUGGGGAAUAUUCUCCCAUUCUUCUACCAGGGCCUGCUUUAGUGCCCUGAGGGUAGUAGGUGGUGGUUUGCGAUUUCUGACUAGCCUCCCAAGCUCAUCCCAGGCGUGUUCAAUCGGGUUCAGAUCAGGACUUCUUGAUGGCCAAGCCAUCACGCUGAUACCGACCUCCUGAAUAUACUCUUGUACGAUAUGAGCCGUGUGUGGCCGGGCAUUAUCAUGCAUCAGCAUCGAUCCAUCACCCAUAUUUGCGAAAUACGGCCCUGCAUACUCAUUGAGAAUCUCUUGAGCAUAUCUUUGCCCACUCAGGGUGCCAUUUUCUAUGGCUACUAGCUCUGUGCGACCUUCUGAAUAUAUGCCAGCCCAUACAUGUACACUGCCUCCACCGUAUUGGACUCUUUCUGAGAUGCAGGCUUGAAGGUAUCGCUCACCAGGUCGCCUGUAAACACUUCGCCAUCCAUCAGAAGUGUAAAGGGAGAAUCGAGACUCAUCUGCAAACAAAAUUCUUGACCAUUCUUCUUCAUCCCACUGCAUGUGUUCACGGGCGUAUCGCAGUCUCGCUACUCGAUGCUGUCUCUCGAGUUUUGGGCCACUCGCUGGUCUUCGGGGUUUCUGAAGCAAAUUUGAAACCCACUUCUUCUCACUGUACUAUCACUAAUGAAGUACAGUGAGAAGAAGUGGUGUGACCCUCCAGGUCUGAAGUAGCUGUUGCUGGACUUCAACUGCAUUUUGGUGGCGAUUUCUUAACACAGUGGAAAUAAUUUAACGAUCUUCUUGGGCACUGGUACACCUGGGUCUGCCAUUACCUCUCCUCUCUCUCCUCAGAUGGUGUCCAGUCUCUUCGUACCUUCGCUUUACCUUCUGGACCGUUCGUACCGUCACACCCACCAUUCUUGCAGUGCGACGCAUACUGAUGCCUAGUUCCAGAAAAGCCAUGAUUCUAGCACAGUCUUCAACUGUAAGAGGCAUGAUAAAUAAAUGCUAUGUGCUUUUUAGCAUAAAUUUUUAAAACAAGACCCAUCGAUCUUGAAAAAAAUUUAAAACAGAAAGAAAAAUGUGAAUGGUGAAAUUGUAAUUCGGAAACGUCCACUUUGAAAAAGGAAUGGUUUUGUUUUUGAAGUUUUUUUUUCAGCCAAUUCAUAAAAGAAGGCUACCGACUAUAAAGUUUUUAUGUACAAAAUUAAAUUCUCUUUGGAGUCCUUUUUAUUUCGAAAGUAUAUCUUGUGAACUUAAAACGUUAUCCCAAUUUUAAAAGUGUGAUACUUACUUUUGAAGGCCAGUGUAGUUAUAAUUAAUUGGGAUGUCUAAUCUAAUCAAUCAUAUAUCUGAACUUAAAAAUGUCAAAUGAUGUCAAAUAUGUCAAAUGUCUUAUAUUAACGUUCAUGACGUUGGUAUCGCUUGUAAGCACAUCAAGCUGACAAUAUCUUUUAUUUUAUUUUACUUAUAAUAUUUUUCAUGUUAAUUAAAUGGAUAACUAAUUUUUAAUGGCUGAUCAACUACAUUGAAGUCGAGCAUAGUAGAUGUUCGUUUGCAAAUUCAAACCAAUGAUUAUGAUUUAGUGAUUCUUACGGAGACAUGGCUAAAUGCUUCAGUUUAUGACUCUUAAGUUAUUUGAUGAUCGCUAUGUAGUUUAUCAAAGAGAUCGGUUUGGUAAUAGGAAUGAAGGUGGAGUUUUAAUAACUAUUAAGAAAAAAAUACAUUCACUGCCGAUGCCUGAAUUCAGGAUUUCGGGAGUCUGAGUGUGAAGACUUGUGGGUAAAGAUAAAAAGGAGAAAUUCAGAAAACCAAUUUGUAGUAAUUCAUAUCUUCACCGUUUAUUUACCACCUCCACUAAAUUUAUUAUAUACUAGUCAAAACAAAAUAAGGGCCACCACGUUUUUACAGUAUUCUCAUGAAUCCUUGAGGUUUAAAGUUUGAUCAAUGAUUCAAUUGGAUAAAUUGAUUGAUUUUUAUUGUAGAGAGAAUAAAAUAAUGAUGCAUUCCAUUAAAAAAAGAAAUUUUCUCUACUUUUUCUAAAAAUUAACAUUUUUGCAAAAAUAAUUAGUAAGGAAACAAAAUCUGAAAAAAUAAAAACCUAAAAUGUCGGUUGUUUUAUGACUUUCCUCAAUAUCUAGUAUGCCGUCCUCGAUUACUAAUGCACUCUUGAAGCCUAGAAGGUACACUCUCCACCAGGUGUACCACUGUUUCUUGAGGAAUUUGUUCCCAGCUUGAUUUCAGAACGUUCAUUAUCUGUCUUUCAUUGUGCACGGGUUGGUUUGUGCUUCAGACACUGCGUUUCAGUAAGUCCCACAUGUGUUCAAUGGGAUUUAGAUCCGGACUGUUUGCAGGCCAGUCCAACACCUGUAUACCAGCCUCCUCUAGGGCUUCUCUGGUGGCCCUAGCUGUAUGAGCGCAGGCAUUAUCGUGCAUCAGGUGGAAUCUUGCGCCGAUUCUGUGUGCAUAUGUGACCACAUGGGGUCUUAUGACCUCCUCGAUGUAACGUUGAGCUGUUAUUGUGCCUUCGUUUAGAAUUACCAGCUCGGUUCUGCCGGACUUAGAGAUUCCUCCCCAUACCAUAACAUUGGGGCCCCCAAAUCUAUCACUUUCAUGGAUGCAACCAUCCGAAAAUCGCUCACCUUCACGCCUCCAGACCCUAAUGCGACGGUCAUCACUAAAAAAUUUCACUUUGCACUCAUCCGUAAACAAUACUGUCCUCCAAUUGUUCAUAUCCCACGCCAGAUGCUGCCUUGCGAAUGAUAAUCGGUUUGCACGAUGAGCACUUGUUAAUGGUAUCCGCACUACACGUCUCCCGGAGAACUACUGGUCCUCGUAUAAACGAUUUCUAACAGUUUGUACACUAACACGUAUACUGGUCGCCUGCCGCAAACGGUUUUGUAAGGAACGGGCUGUUAUACAGCGUUCUCCACGCGCAGUCAAGCACACGUAGCGGUCCUCCUGUGGUGUAGUUGCUCGAACUCUGCCAGAUCUCCGUCUCCUGGUUAGUCUCCCAGUCUCUUGAAAACGAUUCCAAGCAUUGUGGAUCGCUCGCCGGGAAAAACCCAGCUGCAACGCCACAGAACGCUGCGAAUGGCCUCGUCUUGAAGCAAUGUUACGGCCCUAGUUACGGUUGGCAAGUCCAUAUGACUUCGAAUUCUCGGCAUAACUUUUUUUUAAAUGUUAAUUCAGCCACUAGUCAAACAAAACUGACAGUGUUUCUGAGAGAAUCGUCAAUUUGACUGAGUUGAAAUCCGUCUUAAAAUCGGGUAGAAUCAAGUGGUUACAAUAAAUUAUCUAAAACUACCCACUUUAAACAAUUAUGAGGGUGGAAUGCUCAAAAAAUGUGUGUAAGCAAAUAAGGUAACACCACAAUAAAUUAUCAGCUACUUGAGAAUGCAUUAAAAAUAAAUUAUCGCUAGCGAGGCCAAAAAAUCAAGUGGCCCUUAUUUUGUUUUGACUAGUAUAUAUAUUAAAUAUUAUAAAAUUAUAUAUAUAUUAAAAUUUUAAAACAUGUUCCGAAAUGCAAGAAAUUUUAUAAUAAAUAUCCUAAAGGUAUUGAAAUUAAAAUUAAAGAACCGGAAAAAAUAUAAAAACCCUCUUGACAAGAUUGAAUUUGAAUAUUUAAGACGUGAUUGCAAUGAACUAAUUAAAAAAAUGUAUUCAAAUUAUGUAAUCAGCAUUGAAAAUGAUAUUUCAAAAAACCCUAAAUAUUUUUGGACUUAUAUUAAAAAUACUCGUAAAAGCUAUUCCAAUUACCCUAAUACUUUAAUUUAUAAAGAGGUACAAGCAAAUUGAUGCCCAACAUUUAUAUAUCUCAAAGAAGUAACAUUCAAAAAUUAAAAAGUCUUGAUAUCAAACAAAGUGUUGGCCCUGAUAAAAUUCCAGCAAUAUUUCUUAAUAAUAAUAAUAAAUAAUAAAUUCUUUAUUUCGACCAACAAAGGAUCAUAAUGUGUUAGUAACAAAAUACCUUAAAACCUUGUGUUAGUACAAGAUAUCUUAAAAUCUAAGCCUUCCUAAUCUAGGACAGGGCCGACUUGUCAGCACAUGUAUCAAACAGCAGUGGUUCAGGUACUGACAAUCGAACCUGUGAGAAAAUGCCCUCAAAAUACCAUUGGGGCUAGCCCGGACCCUACGCAACAGGGACGUACACUGCUUACGCAUAGUCGCGUAAAAACAGUCUACGCGUGCCUCAGCAAACAUCCCCGACGCGCUGCAGUAUCGUGGCAAGCCCAAUAACAUUCUGAACGCAUUAUUAUACUGAACACGCAGGGCAAUUGUACUGCUUCUGCGCAUAGUCGACCCACAGACUGCUCGUGUAAAAUGAGGUGCAGUAAAGCAUUGUGCAUACUCACUUUCAACACCACUGCACAUCGUGUACAAUGCUUCUCUGGAAAAGGGCAUAUUUCCUGAUUUGUGGAAAGAGGCAAGAAUAGUUCCAAUAUAUAAAAACGGCAACAAGAAAUUGGCAAAUAAUUACCGUCCUAUUUCUAUUCUAUCGACGUGCUCUAAGGUCUUUGAAAGUCUAGUUCAUGAAUCGAUAUUCCACCAUGUUCGUGGCUCUUUAUUCUCCAACAUAGUUUUAUAGAUAAAAGAUCUGCCAAUACUAACCUUCUAAGUUAUUCGACUGGUCUAAUUGAUACUAUGGACAAAACCCAACAAGUUGAUGUUAUCUACACGGAUUUCUCAAAGGCGUUUGACAAGGUAGAUCACCAUAUUCUUAUUAAUAAAUUAAAUAAAUUUGGAAUCUCAAUUCCACUCUUGACAUGGUGUCAGUCCUAUUUGUACAACAGACCAGCAAAAGUUGUUUUGGAUGGAUUGUAAGUCUGACCCUUACAUUGCAACAUCUGGCGUACCUCAAGGCUCAAACCUAGGUCCUUUUGUUUUUCAAUUUAUUUAUUAAUGAUAUUCCUAGUGUUAUCCAAAACUGCAAGAUAUUUCUAUUUGCCGAUGACUUAAAAAUUUGCCGAACGAUUGUAAAUGAAAAUGAUUGUCAUUUACUAUAAGAUGACAUUAAUAACCUAACGAAAUGGUGUAAAUAUAAUAAAAUGUAUCUCAAUACUGACAAAUGUUUCUCAAUUACAUUUUCAAGAAAAAAAAUAUCAACGGGCUUACUAAUAUAAGAUUGACAAUAUAACAUUUACUGAUGAAAUCAGAGAUUUAGGUAUUACAAUUGACAAAGAGUUACGGUUUGUCAGUCACAUAGAUAAAUUGCAAAUUCUGCACUCAGUACACUAGGGUUUGUCUCUCUUAUCACACUAUUGAAUAGCCUUGUACGAAGCAAGCUCGAGUAUUGUUGUCAAGUCUGGUCCCCGUGCUAUAACAUCCACAUCAAAAGAAUAGAAAGUAUUCAAAUAAAUGUUAAUUUAACUUAUCAUAUACCCAGAAUACUGAACAGCUACGGCUUGAGUUCUUUAAAAUACAGAGUUUGGAAGAGAGGCGUAACUUGUUAGACUUAAAGUUCUUACAUAAACUGUUUCACAAUUUAAUGUACCUCGAAGUGCCCCUCGAAGUCAACGUCCAUUUUUUGCACUAAUGAAAGUAAAUACAAACCUGGGUAAAAAUUCUCCAAUCGAGCGAAUGGUAAGAGUAUGUAUAUAAUGAGUACCUUAAUAAAAUACCAGAAUUAGACAUUGGUGCAGAUGGGUUUAUAACAUUUAUAAAUAAAUGUACUAAAAUUUUUAAGAAGUUAA